rnacentral:lncRNA from 1 species
AAAUAUUUGGUUCGCCAUUCGACCUUCCACGCGCCUCCGGCCUUUAAAACCUGAAAAUGUUAAAUAUGGGAUGAGCAUACAGGGUACACUCAGUGUGGGAACAUGCAAUCAUUGUCCACGUUAAUAAAAUGAGAAUCACAUAUGAUCAAUACAUUCGUAACUGAAAGUCGCACGGUGGCAUACCAAGGACCUUUCCGUCCUGGACCGAUUUAGCCGGCCCCUGGCGACUGGUUGCAACCAUAACUUUAACAUAAUAUCGCAUUGUGGCAUACCAAGGAUCUUUCCAUCCUGGACCCAUUCAACGGGCCCCUAGCGAUAUAAUUUAAUGCAACUCACAUAUAGUAAACACAUAAUAUUAAAAUGGACAAAGAUUAACCACGGCAUGUACUGAAAUAAAUCCCACACCUGAACUUUGAACUUGAACUUCAACUUCAACUUGAGUAAUUCAAUUAAAAUACAUAUCCUAGUCGCGCCGCACCUAGUCAGAUAAAUUCGAUAAAUAAAUAUAUAUAUUGUAAGGUUUUUCAUAACUUGAAAAUCUAAUAUUUUUCAAAUAAAUAUUGCAAAGCAACUAAAUGGUUUUGGGCUGUGACAAACCUACCCACUUAAAAAAAUUUCGUCCUCGAAAUUUAACAAGUCAUAGCUGCAAUAAUCUUCAACAUAAUAACAUGAAUACUGAACUUGAAAUUUCUCAUAAUAACUUCAAUUAUUGCAGCAAAUUCCAACAUACUUUCAACAUAAAUAAUUUAUACUCAUCCCCUUGAAAAAAUAUUUGAAAUAUCUUUACCUUGAUGUCGGAGCACGUAGAGGUCGAAUGGAUUUGUCAUACUUGACUUAAAAACAUUUUAAGAAAAUUUUUAUUUUGCAGAGUCUACAGGAAAGUAGACCUGCUCUGAUACCACCUUGUGACACCCAAAUUCAAUUUAAUUUUCAAUGAAAACGCACGCGGAAAAACUAUGAAUAUAAAUAAAUAUUUAACGAGAAAAUAGUGAAAUAAAUAUCUUACUUUAAAAUACUUUACUAAACAUAACAUUUUUAAGUAAAACUAAAUUCAAAAUAUUUGAUUCGCCAUUCGACCUUCCACGCGCCUCCGGUCUUUAAAACCUGAAAAUGUUAAAUAUGGGAUGAGCAUACAGGGUACACUCAGUGUGGGAACAUGCAAUCAUUGUCCACGUUAAUAAAAUGAGAAUCACAUAUGAUCAAUACAUUCGUAACUGAAAGUCGCACGGUGGCAUACCAAGGACCUUUCCGUCCUGGACCGAUUUAGCCGGCCCCUGGCGACUGGUUGCAACCAUAACUUUAACAU